rnacentral:lncRNA from 1 species
UUUGUUUCAACCUUUAUUAGAGAGAAAACUUCCAUCCUUUCAGAAAGGAGAACAUUCACAGAAGGUUUAAGAAAUGAAAGCAGAUGAACUUCACUGUGUCCAAAAGAUUACUCACUUUUGCAUGUUUUCUUAUCCGGAUUAAGUCUAAAACCUUCUUGGCAUCGACAGAAAUAGGAAUCAUCUGUAUUAACACAUUCCUGUUCACAGCCAUGGUCCUGAAGAGCACAGUAGUCUGGUCUUCUGCAAGUUCUUUUGUCUGCAUUUAAAAUGAACCCUGGGUGGCAUCUACAGUAAUAAGAGUCCUCUGUGUUAACACAUUCAUGUUGGCAACCUUGAUUAUCCACAGCACAGUAGUCCACAACAACACAAUUCUUCCCAUCCGCAUCAAGCUCAUACCCUUC